rnacentral:rRNA from 1 species
UACGGAGGGAGCGAGCGUUGUUCGGAAUUACUGGGCGUAAAGGGUGCGCAGGCGGCUAUGUAAGUCGGAAGUGAAAUCCCAGGGCUUAACCUUGGAAUUGCUUUCGAAACUACAUAGCUCGAGUCUCGGAGAGGUUGGCGGAAUUCCCAGUGUAGAGGUGAAAUUCGUAGAUAUUGGGAGGAACACCAGUGGCGUAAGCGGCCAACUAGACGAGUACUGACGCUCAAGCACGAAAGCGUGGGGAUCAAACAGG